CGCACGGCUUCCAGCCCGAGGGGAGACGCAUUCGAGUGAUCACCAGGAGCGAACUUGGCGCCCGCAGCCUUGGGCCUGGGAGAGCCUGUUCGGCGUCUUGCAGCAGUGCCUGCGAUCCCGCGUGAGUCCGUCGCUCCCUCCGCGAAAACCUGGACUCUUUCCCAGAAGCCUUGGGCUCCAGCACCAUGCCUGCUGCAGCCGCCAAAGAGCGGGAAGCCACAGGCUCUGCGGGUCUUGGUUACAGCGUCUCUGGUCGUGCCGGGCCUCCUUCUGCAUCUGUUCCACGGCCCGGCCAUCUCCCUCGUGCAGCCCAGAACAAUUGGGAGGAAGCGUUGGCGGGCGGAGGGGGAUGCCUGUUGGGCUUUUCCACUAGUUACUGAGUGUUUUUUGCGAAGAGUACGUUGCUAUCAGUGGCGUCCGGGUCGUCUCUCCCUCUCUUCCUUUUGGUCCCCAUAAAUGAGCUGUUCUCGGCUCUGGGAAAGAAAAGCCCUCCAGCGAUUAUGCGGAUCUAAUUAAGUCAAUCAGGAAACUGCCGGAGAGCGGCACUGGCUUGAAGCGGAGUUUGUCCUGAGGCACAGCGGAACGAUUGCACGCGGCCCUUUUCAGCGGUUCGAGCUCGGCCAGCGCCGGGCUGCAAACGGAAGCCUGAGCUGGGCUUGGGGAACUACGCCCGCAGAUUUCUCUAAUUUUAUUCACAAAACUGGACACCCUCAGGGAAAGCGGCAAAGCCGGCGCGAGCCUCCUUCCCACUCUGGACCUAGCUGCAGCUCCAAAGCGAGAUAGCUGUCUAGCCUCAGCCGGUACAGCUCCCGGCCCCUUUCUCCACCCGGAUCUUCGGCUGCUCAGAAGCGAUCAGCUCCCUUAGCCCAGGUGGGAGGCGGGAGACUCCAGAUCCUGUGACCCGCGGAGGCAGACCUCAGACAUGUUCCCCAUGCACAGAAAUGACUGGGGCUCCAGUGUGUGCACCUUCAACUCUGAAGCCCACCUGCCCACUUCAGGCGCUGGCGCGGAGAUAACCACCACGCGUCUGCCGGGCAAAGUUCGAGAGUGAAUUUACAUCUUCUCUUUCCGCUACUCCUGGCCACUGUCCCCUCCCAGCCCCAUCUCCCCCGCCCCCAACCCUGGACUAUGUGGUAGGGGACUCGCUUAAGCACCCAAGUACUGCGCGGUUGUUGAGACCAAGGCGAGCUGCGGAGCCUGUGGGCUGUUGUUCGUGGGAAGAGGGUUGCGACCUCAGGAGAGACCGAAAACAGCGCCACUUGAAACCCGCCGGUCCUGAAGAUCACAGAGUUCCCGGAGUGGUAGGGAAGGCUCCACGCUCUUGAGAGCAGAGGCGGCCAGGGGCAGUGGGGGACGCUUCCAGGUAUGUGGGAAGGAGAACUUCAUGUCUAAGUGCGCUCUUGUGGGUUUCUCGGCCAGCUGGGCCGAGCCUCUCUUUCUCUGUCCUCAUGUGUCUGUCCUCUGGACAACAGUGGCUCUGUAUGGCGGAUUGCGACCCUGAGUGACGGGCGCCUGUCUUGCAUCCUGUGUCCUGUGUCCUCCCCUCCAGACCUCAUGCUUGGUGUCCACAGAGUGGACCCAGGACUGCCUGGAAGGCUUAUCAUCCAGGCCCGCGACUUCCCCCCAGAGUCUGAAGCCUUGCGACCUGGUCGGGGACGACAAACCUGCUCGGGGUCAACAGCGAGACCCUAGUGGGGAAUGAGGAUGGGUGAGGGUGCGCCUGGGUUGAGGGUCUGUGACUGUAGCAUGGAAAAGGAGUUCAUGCAGGGAUCGCACUGAGGGACAGCCAAGAAUACUCCAGCGGCAGCCUCCCUCCUACCAAUUACACGCCGCCUGCUGGCACAGUGGCACCUCGGGAACAGGACGCCCUUCCGGGCCCUGAAUUGGGGCAGCGCAGGAGGGAGGGUGCAGAGCCAUAGCGACCUGUGUGUACCAUAGACAUGCACAUGCGCUCACCUUCACGUGUAACCCUUCUGAGUCCCAGACAGGGUAACUGGCGAGGCCGUAAGUACCCUCGUGGGGGCGGAAAUAUUGCCGCGUCCCUGAGUCCUCUGGGCAGAUGCAGAGCCGCGUAAGCCUCAUAGAAGCAAAGCCAGGGGAACAGUGGGAGCUCUGGCCUCGCGGUGCGGACGCUAGUAAUGGAUUCCUGGGGAACAGCGACCUCUGGAGGAGCCUCUCAUCCACACAGAGUCAGGAACUAAAGGACUGGUUCUGAGACAAAGCACCCUUUCCUCACCCUACUCCCAUUCCACCCGCUUGGAAAAGUUAUCCAGAGACUUUUAACCUCCGGACUCCACUCUUCGCUUAUGUUUGCUUUUUUUUCCAACCUGUACCCACGCUUCAAAAUCCCUGCUCCAGUCCUGCCUCUUCCAGAAAGAAGCCUUCUGGCCAGCCCAGUUCCUCUUCCCCUCUUCCUGUUCUGAGCUCAUUCUCAGGCCACACUGCACAGCCAACCUGCUUCCUGCCUGCUCUUCUCCAAAAAGACUGUGAAUCCACUCCACCCACGCCUUGUGUUGCAUGCUGGGCAUGCCGUUCCCUGCCCCAACCCACCCCACCCCCCAGUGAAUAAAGACUGAAGUUAUUCAUUCCAAAAUUGGACUGUUGAUUUUUCAAAGUUAAUUUCACCGAUGGGGAAAUUGAGACCCAGAGAGAGGGAUGACUUGCCCAAAAUCACACAGCAAACUGGUAGCAGAGGUGGAACUAGAACCCUACACCAUUUCCCAGGCCAGGGUGCUCUUCAUCUCACCUGGAUGGGGAGCAGGUAAUUUGGGGAGAACUCACUUUGAUGGGUGAGACCUGAAUUGAGGUUUCACACUGGAGCGGGGAAUGCAGGAGGAAACUGAGAGAGUGGUCAUUGCUCCAGGAUGAGGCAGGGAGGGCAAUGCUGUGCUGGGAGGCCAGACCCUUCUUUCUCCCAUCCUCAGCCCAGAUCAAGCUACUUGGAAGGACUUCACAUUUCAGGGGUUGGCUGCAUUUCUUACAUCAGCAAGUGGGCAGGGCUAAGGUCUGGGAACAGACUCAACUCUGGAAAAUACCACCCUCCCCCAUCCACCACCACCACCCAAGGGAAGGAGGAGCUGAGAAACCUCUCCUGCUCAUACACUCAGAGGGCACUGCAGAGACCCCAGAUCAACAGGAGGCCUUCUGGUGCUUGCAAUUCAGUUAGUGAAAAGGUGGAAGUGUGAUUUGCAUGAGGCUCUAGUGAUACCUGCUCAGUAGCCUGAGGCCUUCUCAGAGCUGCAUCACUUUCUGUGUAUAGAGUCCUUGUCUGCACAGGAUACCUGGCAGCCUGGCCCCUACCUGCUUGCCCAGCCCCUACCUCCAACUCCUGUUCUCUACUCACACCUGAUUUCCUCUUUCUUCCCUCUUCACCUUUGCAGGUGGCUCACUCUUGCCUGGCUCACUUCUAAUCCUUCCUAGUUAAUUUCACACAUCAAGUUUGUGAGAUGCUUUCCCUGACAACACUCCUGCGCUCACCUGACUCCCACCUCUGUGUUCCUGAAGCUCUUAGCUCCAUCUGUUUUUGUUACUUGUUUUUCAGUCUGUAGAUUUUAUUAUAGACCAGGAGUCCUCAACCUUUUUGGCACCAGGGUCUGGUUUCAUGGAAGACAGUUUUUUCCACAGACCAAGGUGGUGGUGGGCAAAUGGUUUUGGGAUGAAACUGUUCUACCUCAUAUCAUCAGGCAUUAGUUACAUUAUCAUAAGGACCACGCAACAGGCGGGGCAUGGUGGCUCACACCUUGUAAUCCCAGCACUCUGGGAGGCUGAGGUGGGUGAAUCAUUUGAGGUCAGGAGUUUGAGACCAACCUGGCCAACAUGGUGAAAUCCCGCCUCUAGUAAAAAUACAAAAAUUAGCUGGGCGUUGUAGUGGGUGCCUUUAGUCCCAGCUACCUGGGAGGCUGAGGCAGGAGAAUUCCUUGAACCCAGGAGGCAGAGGUUGCAGUGAGCCGAGAUUGCACCACUGCACUCCAGCCUGGGCAACAGAGUGAGACUCCAGUCUCAAAAAUAAAUAAAUAAAUAAAAAAUAAGGAGCACGCAACCUAGAUCCCUCACAUGCGCAGUUCACAAUAGGGUUUGUGCUCCUAUGAGAAUCUAAUGUCGCCACUGAUCUGACAGGAGGCGGAGCUCGGGUGGUAAUACUUGCUCACCCGCAGCUGACCUCCUGCUGUGUGGCCAGGUUCUUAACAGGUCACCGGUUAGGAACCAGUUAGUGGCCAGGGGGUUAGGGAUCCCUGCUUUAGACUGUGAGCUCCUUGAGAACAGGGCUCAUUUUGUGUUCAUCUUUAUCUUUCCUCUUCUGCAAAAUGGGGAUAAUAAUUGUACCUACCUCAUUGGAUUGCUGUAAGGAUUAAAAGAGAUGAUGCACAUAUAAAGCACUUAGCCUACUACCUGAAACUUUGAAAGAUCUCAAUAAAGGCCGGGCGUGGUGGCUCACGCCUGUAAUCCCAGCACUUUGGGAAGCUGAGGCAGGCAGAUCACCUGAGAUCAGGAGUUGGAAACCAGCCUGGCUAACAUGAUGAAACCCCAUCUCUAUUAAAAAUACUAAAAUUA
rnacentral:lncRNA from 1 species